rnacentral:rRNA from 1 species
UGGGGAAUAUUGCACAAUGGGCGAAAGCCUGAUGCAGCGACGCCGCGUGAGGGAUGACGGCCUUCGGGUUGUAAACCUCUUUCAGCAGGGAAGAAGCGAAAGUGACGGUACCUGCAGAAGAAGCACCGGCUAACUACGUGCCAGCAGCCGCGGUAAUACGUAGGGUGCGAGCGUUGUCCGGAAUUAUUGGGCGUAAAGAGCUUGUAGGCGGUUUGUCGCGUCUGCCGUGAAAAUUCGAGGCUCAACUCCGGAUCUGCGGUGGGUACGGGCAGACUAGAGUGAUGUAGGGGAGACUGGAAUUCCUGGUGUAGCGGUGAAAUGCGCAGAUAUCAGGAGGAACACCGAUGGCGAAGGCAGGUCUCUGGGCAUUAACUGACGCUGAGGAGCGAAAGCAUGGGGAGCGAAC